GGGGAAGUUCCUAAUUGUGGUAGGAGUUGUAUUAGCAAUGACUCAAAACUCAAGUCAAAAGGUUUGACUUAGAGCAUAACCUGCUCCUGGCAUUGAAUUCACGACUGUCAAAGAGGUGUACUACCUGGCAUUAACACUCCACUGAGCGACACAGGCCCACAAUUGAAGACGCAGGAACACACCGAAACAUGUGAGCGCGUCUACAGAAGAUUUCAUGUGUCUGUGGAGGCUCCCACCACAACAACCCAAUCCUCCACCUCCAGCCACUCACUCCUGGACAAAUGCCACCUCCUCUCAUCCACACGACAGUGUCACUGGCCUGUCACAUUAAUUGUGUCAAAGUCGCCCCGGCUCACAUUGCACAGUUUUGCUUACAGAUUAC